UCUUUAUUUCAUUGCCAUUUAAAUCGCAACCAAAUCUUAUCUCCAUCUGUAUAUACAAUAUUACUGUAUUGCUCUCAUGUAUCAAAUCGUGUUCAAACUGCAAAAAUCGCUUUCCGUUCAUUUACCAUUCUCAGGAAGAAUUAGCAGUUCUACGAAUCAUAUCCUUCCUUUCACCUCAAACUAAUUUGAUGCAACGAGUUAUUCAUUUUAACCUUGAAAUAAUUUUCUAUCGAAGCUUCUCUUUAUACU